rnacentral:rRNA from 1 species
UGGGGAAUAUUGGACAAUGGGGGCAACCCUGAUCCAGCAAUGCCGCGUGUGUGAAGAAGGUUUUCGGAUUGUAAAGCACUUUCGACGGGGACGAUGAUGACGGUACCCGUAGAAGAAGCCCCGGCUAACUUCGUGCCAGCAGCCGCGGUAAUACGAAGGGGGCUAGCGUUGCUCGGAAUGACUGGGCGUAAAGGGCGUGUAGGCGGUUUGUACAGUCAGAUGUGAAAUCCCCGGGCUUAACCUGGGAGCUGCAUUUGAUACGUGCAGACUAGAGUGUGAGAGAGGGUUGUGGAAUUCCCAGUGUAGAGGUGAAAUUCGUAGAUAUUGGGAAGAACACCGGUGGCGAAGGCGGCAACCUGGCUCAUAACUGACGCUGAGGCGCGAAAGCGUGGGGAGCAAACAGGAUUAGAUACCCUGGUAGUCCACGCUGUAGACGAUGUGUGCUAGAUGUUGGGUAACUUAGUUAUUCAGUGUCGCAGUUAACGCGUUAAGCACAC